rnacentral:lncRNA from 1 species
AGUGUAGGCCGUGCCGCGAUCCAGACCCGACGCCUCCGCGGGCUCCGCGGCGCCCGGGCUGCCUCCGCCGGCUGGGAGCGCUCGAGUGGCCCUCGGGAACUCACCGUGAAGCAGGAGGGCCGGGAACAGAAGUUGGUGACUUUGAUGCUUCUGUCCUUACAAAAAGAGAAAACUUCUACAAACAGACACAAACCCAAGGCUGGAGGAUUGCUUGAGAUCAGGAGUUCGAGACCAUCAUGGGAAACACUGCAAGACCCUGUUUCUACAAUUUUUUUUUAAUCAGCCAGGCAUGGUCGCACAUGCCUCUAGUCCCAGCAACUUGAGAGGCUGAGGUGGGAGGAUCGCUUGAGCCCAGGAGGUCAAGGCUACAGUGAGCUAUGAUUGCACCACUGCACUCCAGCCUGGGCGACAGACAGAGAUCUUGUCUCUAAAAGAAAAAAAAAAAAAUGCCCCAGAGUCAAAA